rnacentral:misc_RNA from 1 species
AAAGUCGUAACAAGGUUUCCGUAGGUGAACCUGCGGAAGGAUCAUUAAAAAAGUGUUGGGCUCGCUAACUUCGGUUGGCGGGUUCGAUGUUUUUACACACCUGUUUACCUUUACCUAGUUUCUUCCCUGAUCUAGGGUGCCCUGGCUGUCAGUAGCGUUCCUACUGGCAGGGUUGGGUUACCUUUCAGGGGUUUUUUGUUACAUGUUUCUUUAGCUGAACUGUCUGAAUACAAAUUGAAAAAUUAAAACUUUCAACAACGGAUCUCUAGGUUCUC